rnacentral:rRNA from 1 species
CACAACGACUCUCGGCAACGGAUAUCUCGGCUCUCGCAUCGAUGAAGAACGUAGCGAAAUGCGAUACUUGGUGUGAAUUGCAGAAUCCCGUGAACCAUCGAGUCUUUGAACGCAAGUUGCGCCCGAAGCCAUCAGGCCGAGGGCACGCCUGCCUGGGCGUCACGC